AGAACUAGCCCGACCCACCCCAAACUCAACUUACCCAAGUAACUAAAUCAAAACAUUUACACACCGUAAAAGUAUAGGAGAUAGAAAUUACACUCGGCGCUAUAGAGAAAGUACCGCAAGGGAAAGAUGAAAGAUGAUCCAUAAGUAAGAAACAGCAAAGAUUACCCCUUUUACCUUUUGCAUAAUGAGUUAACUAGUACAAUUUAGCAAAGAGAUCUGAAGUUAAACCCCCCGAAACCAGACGAGCUACCUACAAACAGUCUUAUAGGACUAAUCCAUCUAUGUGGCAAAAUAGUGGAAAGAUUUGUAGUUAGAGGUGAAAAGCCUACCGAGCCUGGUGAUAGCUGGUUGUCCAGGACAGAAUAUCAGUUCAAACUUAAACCCUGCCUAAAAAACUAAUAAUUUUAAUGCAGGUUUAAGGCAUAGUCUAAAAGGGGACAGCCUUUUAGACACAGGAUACAACCUUUAUUAGUGAGUAAGCAUUAUCAAUACCAUAGUUGGCCUAGAAGCAGCCAUCAAUUAAGAAAGCGUUAAAGCUCAACAAUCAUAACCACUC
rnacentral:rRNA from 1 species